rnacentral:rRNA from 1 species
GACGAACCGUGCGAACGUUGUUCGGAAUCACUGGGCUUAAAGGGCGCGUAGGCGGGCGCGAAAGUCAGGGGUGAAAUCCCACGGCCCAACCGUGGAAGUGCCUCUGAUACUGCGUGCCUGGAGGGAGGUAGGGGCGUGCGGAACUUCCGGUGGAGCGGUGAAAUGCGUAGAUAUCGGAAGGAACACCGAUGGCGAAAGCAGCGCGCUGGGCCGACACUGACACUGAGAGACGAAAGCUAGGGGAGCGAAUGGG